CGUAACUCCGAAGCUGAUAUCGGGGUUUUUGAGGAUUAUUUCUGGUGAGGGUCUCCUGCGUAUUCGACCGGGUUAGACGUUCCAUUAUGAGUUUAUUAUUAUUAAGGCUAUAUGCAUGAUAGGGUAAUGUCCGUUUAAUCGUAAGAUUUUAUAUGCUUCUUUAUCAUAUUUAUUACUUAAUGUGAUACAUGUUCCGUUACUUUGCUAAUAUAUCUGAUUUAAUAUAUGUGCUAAUAUGAGAAGUAGCUAUUACUGAUUAUUGAAUAAAUCUGGUAAUUGAUUGAUCACCUAGUUAGGGCCCGUAUGCUGGCGAUUGUGCUUAUUGCACUUCUGUUACGCGGUGGGCCUUGGUAAGCGCCACAACUAACUAUUGUCGUGGGCUUUGAUAAGAGCCACACUAACUCUACGUGGGCCAUUUUAGUGCCACUAACUCUACGUGGGUCGUCAGCAUAUGUGAGCCGGGAUCCCAAAUAAAAUAUGGAUAUAAAUUAGAUUAUAGAAUUAGCCUUAUGUGUUAUAUGUUGUAUANNNN
rnacentral:lncRNA from 1 species